rnacentral:rRNA from 1 species
GACGUAGGGCGCAAGCGUUGUCCGGAUUUAUUGGGCGUAAAGAGCUCGUAGGCGGUUUGUCGCGUCUGCUGUGAAAACUCGGGGCUUAACUCCGGGCCUGCAGUGGGUACGGGCAGACUAGAGUGCGGUAGGGGAGACUGGAAUUCCUGGUGUAGCGGUGAAAUGCGCAGAUAUCAGGAGGAACACCGAUGGCGAAGGCAGAUCUCUGGGCCGUAACUGACGCUGAGGAGCGAAAGCGUGGGGAGCGAACAGG